GAGAAGAACACCAACAGUUCUCCAGUCUAUAACCAGAGGUAAAAAACUAUUGAUUUCCACAAGAUUUAUGUAUGAUAUUGGAAAGAUGUCUCAGAAAGAAUGCUCCAGUUAUGUUGCUAAGCUCCAUCUCCCAAGAUCUAGAGGCCAUUUUCAAUUCUGAGAGUCAGAUGCUACUUAAGAGGCAUGCUUGUGGUUAACACCUAUCCAGGUACUGCAAACAUUCUUAGAAGAAAAUUGGACUCACUUUGAGAAAUAUGAGGUUGAUAUCUAUAUCGCCGGGAUGGUAAUACACAGUCUGCCACAAAGACCAGAA